AUUGAACGCUGGCGGCAAGCCUAACACAUGCAAGUCGAACGAGUGGCGGACGGGUGAGUAAUGUCUGGGAAACUGCCUGAUGGAGGGGGAUAACUACUGGAAACGGUAGCUAAUACCGCAUACCAUCGGAUGUGCCCAGAUUGGAUUAGCUAGUAGGUGGGGUAAAGGCUCCCCUAGGCGCCGAUCCCUAGCUGGUCUGAGAGGAUGACCAGCCACACUGUAACUGUGACACGUUCCAGACUCCUACGGGAGGCAGCAGUGGGGAAUAUUGCACAAUUGGCGCAAGCCUGAUGCAGCCAUGCCGCGUGGAUGAAGAAGGCCGUCGGGUUGUAAAGUACUUUCAGCGGGGAGGCGUUACCCGCAGAAGAAGCACCGGCUAACUCCGUGCCAGCCGCCGCGGUAAUAC
rnacentral:rRNA from 1 species